UACAUGGGGUGCAAACGUUGCUCGGAAUUAUUGGGCGUAAAGCGCACGUAGGCGGUUCGUUAAGUCGGAUGUGAAAGCCCGCGGCUCAACCGCGGAUUGUCGUUGGAAACUGCCUCGCUAGAGUCCGGAAGAGGAGAGCGGAAUUCCUGGUGUAGCGGUGGAAUGCGCAGAUAUCAGGAAGAACACCCGUGGCGAAGGCGGCUCUCUGGGACGGUACUGACGCUGAGACGCGAAAGCGUGGGGAGCGAACAGG
rnacentral:rRNA from 1 species